GAUGAACGCUGGCGGCGUGCCUAAUACAUGCAAGUCGAGCGAACAGACGAGGAGCUUGCUCCUCUGACGUUAGCGGCGGACGGGUGAGUAACACGUGGAUAACCUACCUAUAAGACUGGGAUAUCUUCGGGAAACCGGAGCUAAUACCGUAUAAUAUAUUGAACCGCAUGGUUCAAUAGUGAAAGCCGGUUUUGCUGUCACUUAUAGAUGGAUCCGCGCCGCAUUAGCUAGUUGGUAAGGUAACGGCUUACCAAGGCAACGAUGCGUAGCAGACCUGAGAGGGUGAUCGGCCACACUGGAACUGAGACACGGUCCAGACUCCUACGGGAGGCAGCAGUAGGGAAUCUUCCGCAAUGGGCGAAAGCCUGACGGAGCAACGCCGCGUGAGUGAUGAAGGUCUUCGGGUCGUAAAGCUCUGUUAUUAGGGAAGAACAAAUAUGGAAGUAACUAUGCACGUCUUGACGGUACCUAAUGAGAAAGCCACGGCUAACUACGUG
rnacentral:rRNA from 1 species